AUACGUAGGGGGCGAGCGUUGUCCGGAAUGAUUGGGCGUAAAGGGCGCGUAGGCGGCCCGGUAAGUCUGGAGUGAAAGUCCUGUUUUUAAGAUGGGAAUUGCUUUGGAUACUGUCGGGCUUGAGUGCAGGAGAGGUUAUCGGAAUUCCCGGUGUAGCGGUGAAAUGCGUAGAGAUCGGGAGGAACACCAGUGGCGAAGGCGACUUACUGGACUGUAACUGACGCUGAGGCGCGAAAGUGUGGGGAGCAAACAGGAUUAGAUACCCUGGUAGUCCACACUGUAAACGAUGAAUGCUAGGUGUAGGGGGUAUCGACCCCUUCUGUGCCGCAGUCAACACAAUAAGCAUUCCGCCUGGGGAGUACGGCCGCAAGGUUGAAACUCAAAUGAAUUGGCGGGG
rnacentral:rRNA from 1 species